CUUAUUUCGUUCUUCUUCUUCAAAAAUAUUCAUUGAGGCAGUCAACUAGACCUUUAUCCUCUUUUACAUACCUAUCUUUUGUUUUUAAUCUAAUCCUUGUUUUACCUUCCUUUUCUCAUGUAUGUAUCAAAAAAAAAAAUGUUGUCCCCUUUUUUUACUGACUGGGCUAUUUUCUCUUCUACGUGUGAUUUGGACGUUCUAAUAACUUAGCCUCUUUCUAC